GGGAAGGUAGCUCAGUGGUAGAGUACUUGCCUUGUAGGCAUGAGGCCUUGGGUUCGAUUCCUCAGCACCUCA
rnacentral:tRNA from 1 species